rnacentral:lncRNA from 1 species
UCUCAUGUUGUUGCUUUUAUCAUUAUGAAUUCCUUGCUUGUUGCCACCUAAGAUACGAUGGAGCAAGCACAGUCUUAAAGAAGAUUUGCUGAUUUUUUGUUUUUCUCAGCAGACCAGAGACAUCCAUAAAAAUUCAUCAGAGAGCAUUUUACUACUGAGCUGCAAAGGGAAAAACUUAAAAUGGAUAUGAAAAGUGAAGAAAGUGAUCAUAGGAGAAAACCAUUUCAGAUGACAAGAGCACCUCAAAGGCAGCAGCCUCAAGGAGCAGCCAUGGCCCCAGACUUGUCGCACGGAUGCAGAAAACUUAAUGGAGGAGGCUGAGGUCAGAAUGGGAAGAGUUUUUAAAAAAUAAAAAGGGGAGCUAAUAUGUGA